AGCCCCUCUAGAGCUGAGCCCACAUACAUUCCACCUUCUAGUGCUCCCUAUGGCAGACCUCUAUCUCCUGGUGCUCCCCGUUGCAAUCUUCCACCCCUGGGCCUUUGCCCUUCCUCCUGUCCUUAUGUUGUACCAGGGACAGGGCCCUAAUUGGCCCCCUACAGCGCUCCCUGCCUCCAACUCUUUGUUUUUGAGACAGGGUCUUGCUAUGUAGUAGAGGCAGUCCUCAAAUUCAUGAUCUCAACCUCUGCCUUCCAAGAGCUGCUACAGUUGUGUUGUGUGCCGACAUAUCCAGCCCGAGAACCUUUUACCUGAGACCCUCUUAUUUCCCCACUGACCGCCUCUGCUUACUAUAUACCUCACCAUCCCUAGGGAGGCAUGCUAUGCUGUCUUCUGGGUACUCAACGGCCCAGGAAGCUCCAAGGCAGCCAACUUUGCCAGCUCCCAGAGGUCCUGAGUAGCCUGGGCUGGGGCAGGGCCUGACUGCUUGCCUCCUCCUCUCAGCCAUUUCCUUCCCAACUGCCCCUGUCUCCUGGUGAGGAAGACUUUAAAAGCACCCACCACCACACCCAGCUUCAAAUAGUUUUCGAC
rnacentral:lncRNA from 1 species